AUUGAACGCUGGCGGCAGGCUUAACACAUGCAAGUCGAGCGGGGUGAUGGUGCUUGCACUAUCACUUAGCGGCGGACGGGUGAGUAAUGCUUAGGAAUCUGCCUAUUAGUGGGGGACAACAUCUCGAAAGGGAUGCUAAUACCGCAUACGUCCUACGGGAGAAAGCAGGGGAUCACUUGUGACCUUGCGCUAAUAGAUGAGCCUAAGUCGGAUUAGCUAGUUGGUGGGGUAAAGGCCUACCAAGGCGACGAUCUGUAGCGGGUCUGAGAGGAUGAUCCGCCACACUGGGACUGAGACACGGCCCAGACUCCUACGGGAGGCAGCAGUGGGGAAUAUUGGACAAUGGGGGGAACCCUGAUCCAGCCAUGCCGCGUGUGUGAAGAAGGCCUUAUGGUUGUAAAGCACUUUAAGCGAGGAGGAGGCUCUUUUGGUUAAUACCCAAGAUGAGUGGACGUUACUCGCAGAAUAAGCACCGGCUAACUCUGUGCCAGCAGCCGCCGCAG
rnacentral:rRNA from 1 species